rnacentral:rRNA from 1 species
UACGUAGGGGGCAAGCGUUGUCCGGAAUCAUUGGGCGUAAAGAGCGUGUAGGCGGCUCGAUAAGUCUGCUGUGAAAGUCCAGGGCUCAACCCUGGAAGGCCGGUGGAAACUGUCGGGCUAGAGUCCGGAAGAGGCGAGUGGAAUUCCCGGUGUAGCGGUGAAAUGCGUAGAUAUCAGGAGGAACACCGGUGGCGAAGGCGCACAUCUGGCCCGAUACUGACGCUGAGGCGCGAAAGCGUGGGGAGCAAACAGG